rnacentral:rRNA from 1 species
UACAGAGGGUGCGAGCGUUAAUCGGAAUUACUGGGCGUAAAGCGCACGUAGGUGGCGACGUAAGUCGGGUGUGAAAGCCCCGGGCUCAACCUGGGAAUUGCAUUCGAGACUGCAUUGCUGGAGUACGGAAGAGGAAGGCGGAAUUCCCGGUGUAGCGGUGAAAUGCGUAGAUAUCGGGAGGAACGCCGGAGGCGAAAGCGAGUGACUGGCGCGUUCCUGACGCUGAGGUGCGAAAGCUAGGGGAGCAAACAGG